UACGUAGGUGGCAAGCGUUGUCCGGAAUUAUUGGGCGUAAAGCGCGCGCAGGCGGUCCUUUAAGUCGGAUGUGAAAUCCCCAGGCUCAACUUGGGAACUGCAUCCGAUACUGGAUGGCUUGAAUUCGGGAGAGGGAUGCAGAAUUCCAGGUGUAGCGGUGAAAUGCGUAGAUAUCUGGAGGAAUACCGGUGGCGAAGGCGGCAUCCUGGACCGACAUUGACGCUGAGGAGCGAAAGCUAGGGGAGCAAACGGG
rnacentral:rRNA from 1 species